GCCGAAUGCUAGAUCUCUGAUGGUUGUUGCUGGCCCUGCACCCAUGGGCAUGUGCACACUUGUCAUCUUUAUCUCUCCAACUGUGCACAUCUUGUAGACCUAGAAUUUGUUUGGAAUUUAUUUUUCGAGUUGGGACUGCUGUGCUUUUUCUACAAAGUCAGCUUUGCCUUGCAUUUUCUGGGUCUAUGUCUUUUUCACAAACCUCAGAGUCUGUUUAGAAUGUUGAAUCAGGUCCUUUUGUACCUAUAAAGUUAAUUAUACAACUUUCAGCAACGGAUCUCUUGGCUCUCGCAUCGAUGAAGAACGCAGCGAAAUGCGAUAAGUAAUGUGAAUUGCAGAAUUCAGUGAAUCAUCGAAUCUUUGAACGCAUCUUGCGCUCCCUGGUAUUCCUAGGAGCAUGCCUGUUUGAGUGUCAUUUAAGUUCUCAACCGCAUCAGAUUUGUUUUUGGUGUGGCUUGGAUAUGGGGGUAUUUGUUGCAGGCUUUUGAAAAAUGAAGUCAGCUCCCCUGAAAUGCAUUAGUAGUAUCUGAGCAGAAAAAACUACUAUGGGUGUGAUAAUUUAUCUAUGCCCUUAGUAUUGCUGCAUGAACAGAUUGCGCUGCUUCUAACAAGUGUGUAAUAAUAACCACGUUUGACAAAUUUGACCUCAAAUCAGGUAGGACUACCCGCUGAACUUAAGCAUAUCAAUAAGCGGAGGAAAAGAAACUAACAAGGAUUCCCCUAGUAACUGCGAGUGAAGCGGGACAAGCUCAAAUUUAAAAUCUGGCGGUUGUUAACUGUCCGAGUUGUAAUCUAGAGAAGUGUUACCUGUGCUGGGACCGUGUAAAAGGUCUCUCCUGAAG
rnacentral:rRNA from 1 species